rnacentral:rRNA from 1 species
CAGCCGCCACGGGAAUACGUAGGUGGCAAGCGUUGUCCGGAAUUAUUGGGCGUAAAGGGCUCGCAGGCGGUUUCUUAAGUCUGAUGUGAAAGCCCCCGGCUCAACCGGGGAGGGUCAUUGGAAACUGGGAAACUUGAGUGCAGAAGAGGAGAGUGGAAUUCCACGUGUAGCGGUGAAAUGCGUAGAGAUGUGGAGGAACACCAGUGGCGAAGGCGACUCUCUGGUCUGUAACUGACGCUGAGGAGCGGAAGCGUGGGGAGCGAACAGGAUUAGAUACCCCUGUAGUCCCUGUCUCUUAUAA